rnacentral:rRNA from 1 species
AAUUUUGGACAAUGGGCGAACGCCUGAUCCAGCAGUUCCGCGUGAGUGAAGAAGGCCUUCGGGUUGUAAAGCUCUUUUGUCAGGGAAGAAACGGUGAGGGCUAAUAACCCUUGCUAAUGACGGUACCUGAAGAGUAAGCACCGGCUAACUACGUGCCAGCAGCCGCGGUAAUACGUAGGGUGCAAGCGUUAAUCGGAAUUACUGGGCGUAAAGCGUGCGCAGGCGGUUUUGUAAGUCUGAUGUGAAAUCCCCGGGCUCAACCUGGGAAUUGCAUUAGAGACUGCAAGGCUAGAAUCUGGCAGAGGGGGGUAGAAUUCCACGUGUAGCAGUGAAAUGCGUAGAUAUGUGGAGGAACACCGAUGGCGAAGGCAGCCCCCUGGGUCAGGAUUGACGCUCAUGCACGAAAGCGUGGGGAGCAAACA